rnacentral:rRNA from 1 species
AUACGUAGGGGGCGAGCGUUGUCCGGAAUGAUUGGGCGUAAAGGGCGCGUAGGCGGCCCGGUAAGUCUGAAGUGAAAGUCCUGUUUUUAAGAUGGGAAUUGCUUUGGAUACUGUCGGGCUUGAGUGCAGGAGAGGUAAGUGGAAUUCCCAGUGUAGCGGUGAAAUGCGUAGAGAUUGGGAGGAACACCAGUGGCGAAGGCGACUUACUGGACUGUAACUGACGCUGAGGCGCGAAAGUGUGGGGAGCAAACAGGAUUAGAUACCCUGGUAGUCCACACUGUAAACGAUGAAUACUAGGUGUAAGAGGUAUCGACCCCUUUUGUGCCGGAGUUAACACAAUAAGCAUUCCGCCUGGGGAGUACGGCCGCAAGGUUGAAACUCAAAGGAAUUGACGGGG